rnacentral:rRNA from 1 species
UACGUAGGGUGCGAGCGUUAAUCGGAAUUACUGGGCGUAAAGCGUGCGCAGGCGGUUUUGCAAGCCGGAUGUGAAAUCCCCGGGCUCAACCUGGGAAUGGCAUUUGGGACUGCAAGGCUCGAGUGCGGCAGAGGAGACUGGAAUUCCUGGUGUAGCAGUGAAAUGCGUAGAUAUCAGGAGGAAUACCGAUGGCGAAGGCAGGUCUCUGGGCUGACACUGACGCUCAUGCACGAAAGCGUGGGGAGCAAACAGG